AAAGUGAAAGGGGCAAAGAAGAUCUUAGCAAAAAGUUGGAGCCCAUUCUCCUCACUUCAAAAAAACAAAACAACGCUAUCAGAGAACUCGAAGCUACUACUACGGACAUCUCCGACACAACGGCAAAGACUGAAGGAAGAUCUAGACCGGGUUUCUGGGCAACUGGCCAGCAUGACCGACAAAUGCCUAGAUCUUGAA